rnacentral:tRNA from 1 species
AGCUAUGAAGUUUUAGAAUAUAAUAUUGAAGUUAUUAAGUAGGGAUUUAUAAGAUUUCAAC